rnacentral:tRNA from 1 species
AGGUCAGGGUGCUACCCCCAUGCAUGGGGUGCAAGGGGUCGCGAGUUCGAAUCCCGCCGCCCCGACCA